rnacentral:rRNA from 1 species
AACGGGUGAAGCCGGGCACUCUGGCGGGACUGCCAUCGACAGAUGAGGAAGUGGGGAUGACGUCAAGUCAUCAUGGCCCUUAUGUCCAGGGCGACACACGUGCUACAAUGGCCGGCACAGCGGGAAGCGAGGCAGUGAUGCCGAGCGGAUCCCUUAAAGCCGGUCUACAGUUCGGAUUGAAGUCUGCAACUCGACUUCAUGAAGCUGGAAUCGCUAGUAAUCGCAGAUCAGCCAAGCUGCGGUGAAUACGUUCCCGGGCCUU